UGGUGGGCAGGGUGGGGUGGGGUGCGGCGGGGUGGGCACAGGCUAGGCUCUAAGUCCAGGUGUCUGGAAAGACCUUCCAGGUCUCCCAUCAACUUCUUCUUUUAAAAUAUGUUUGUUUAUUUGGCCGUGCUGGGUCUUAAUUGCAGCCCGUGGGAUCUUACGUCCCUUCCAGGAACUGAACCCCCAUCCCCCGCAUUGGAAGGCAGACUCGUAACCACUGGACCGCCAGUGAAGUCCCUCCCACCACAUCCCAGACACGUUCUCUGCCCCGGUUUUCCUUCCCUCUUAUCCUUCAGGGCUGGGAGAGUAUGGCAAACUCAUUUGUCCAAAGUACUGGGGACCCAGGUCACAACCUGCAGCCGGGUAAAUUUACACAGAAAGGCACCCAAGCUGGGCAGGGCGACGCUCAGUGUAAAGGAACGACUCUCUAACGCGAUUCAGUGAGAUCCUGCUGGGUGGAGAGACACACUCAGGCAGGGUGCCCCCGAAUCACAGCCCAGAGGCGACAGCCCGCCUUCCCUAACCCCAUAAUGGGCACAUCCGUGCAGCAAGAGCCACCGGGCCCUGCUCCCUGUGCCGUUGCCGAACGCCACGUGCCUUCCCCGCUGUAUUUCCAGCCUUCACGGCAGCCCUGCGAACUCGGGAGCUUUGCGCUUGCUUUACUAAUAGCAGCAAGGCACAGGCAAGCCUGUCCCCAGAGCCUGCGUUCCUGCUCACUUACAUCCACGUUGUUCAGUCUGCAGGCUGUCACCCACUCGUGGGGUGUGAAAUCAGUGCAGUGGAUCCUGAGCACAACUUUUUAAUAGAAUAAGGUGGAAGAGAGCUUAAAAAAAAAAACAAAAAGCAGUUCACACCGUCAUGGAAGGCUGCUGUCAUAAAGCUGUGGCUUCAGGUGGGUAUGUGUGCGUGUUGUUGGAAAAUGGGGAUGAAAAUACAUUUCUCACAGUGAGUUUAAUCGAAACGUUCAAAAGUCAUUGCCUCACACUGUUGUCUCCUGGCUGCUGCUGGAAAGUGGCUUCCUUUCUUCCUGGGAGGACUGAGCGCAUGGGGUACUCCUCCAGGACACUCAGAGCAAGAGCGGGGGCAAGAAGCCGCCGUCGCCCUCCACCAGGAGCUCAUCCCGUUCAGAUGUUCCAGGCUGGUUUUCCACAACCCCCACCUCCCAGCUGAUCCCGGAGGCCAGCCCCAGGGGAAGGAGGCUACACGGCAGGCUGAGGGAUGAAGGUCACACACCAGGAAGACUUCCACGAGAGAGUGCUGGAGUCCACAGGGAGCAGAGCGAGAGGCGUGACGAUACAGCCUGCAUCCCGGAAGUCGUUUUUAAAAUUUCUUUAUUUUUUUUAACCCAUCCUUGAAGGUGAAAAUCAUGAAUGAAGCCGUAAAAGGAAAGAUGACGUGUCCGUGGCUCCUUUUUCAACGGCACGUGGACAGAGAACGCAAGCAGACCACGUGAUCCAUCGAGCCAAAACCCUCUGUUGUUCUGCACGCUUACUGCUACUUCGCUGCUGCCGAUUGUUAAUUACUGUCAGGUAACACUUGGGAGAUUAAUGGACCUCUCAGUCGAAACAAUAAAGGCUAUUAAACUCACCUGGCAGAAAGCUGAGAGCGAGUUUUGCUGUGCUGCUCUUCCUGCCGCUGGGUGAUCCUGCAUCUCAGCCCACUGUCUCCUCAGUCCUGCUCACAACUAUUUGAGAGAGAAUCCUGAUCCUCCCGGACCACGGACCGAGCCCGUGUCUCCUACACUGGCAGGCGGAUUCCUUACCCGUGAGCCGCCAGCGAAGCCCCCUGGUGGGCCUGCAAAGCAGAGGCUGGUUUUCCAUCUAGAGCAGCUCGGCCGCUGUUUUCUGCAGGCAGACGAGGCGUUCCCGGGAAGAACCCUGGAGUGGGAUUUAGGAGGCCCAGCUCAGCCAACAAAAACCCGAAAGCAAAUCACACCCGUGAGCCUCACUUUCCUCAUCUGUAAAAUGGAAUAAUGGCCUGGAUCAGCAGAGUCCAAUGGAAAUACAAUGGGAGUCAUAAGUGUUGUAGCAGCCACAUAAAAAAGUGAAAAUGAAUAAGUGAAACUAGUUUCAAUAAUGUUAUUUAACCUAACAUACCCAAAACAUCUUCAAGCUGUAUUCAAUAUAAAAAAGUAUUAAGGGGGGAAUUCGCUGGUGGUUCAGUGAUUAGGACUCUGAGCUUCUACCGCAGGGCGCUCAGGUUCCAUGCCUGGUCGGGAAACUAAGAGCCAGCAUGCUGCAAGGAAGCGGUGAAGAUGAAGCGAAAGACUGCCCUGAAAGAGACGGCCACGGCACUGGAACCACAUCAGGGUCUUUUCAAACAAGUCAGCUCUUCGCAUCAGAUGGCCAAAGUAUUGGAGUUUCAGCUUCAGCAUCAGUCCUUCCAGUGAAAACUCCGGACUGAUCUCCUUUAGGACGGACUGGUUGGAUCUCCUUGCAGUCCAAGGGACUCUCAAGAGUCUUUACAACACCUCAGUUCAAAAGCAUCACAUCAAUGAAGAGGUCAAAAUCUCUGGCAGCAAGUGAGGCUGGAUACAAGUGCUCUGCACCUUCUCUCAACCUCUUGCAGGGCUGGUCCCUCUCACCGGCUGGCCCGGCCCUGGCCCAAGGGGGCUCACCUCCAUCACUUGGAGUAGAAAGGAGAAAGCCUGUCACUCCCAGCAUUCCCAGCUCCAAGUCCUGGGAUUCACUCUGAUUGGUCCUGCUUUGGUCACAUGUUCACCUCUGAGCCAAUCCCUGUGGCCAGAGAAACAGAACGCACCAAUUGGCUUAGUUUGAAUCACGGGCUCCAGUCCUUGGUCCCUGCUCUGGUAAGAGAAAUGGGAAAGGGGAGAUGGAUGCUUGGAGAAGCAGAGAGCAAGUCUCUAUUCCCUCAGGCUCUGGUUCCAUUUCUGCCGCUGCCUGGUCAUGUGACCUGGGCCAUCCAUUCCCCUUUAUAGGCUCAGUGGACUACAGUAAAUGAUUUAAAAUCUUGACUUCAUUUUUUUUUUUUUUUUAACUUUUUUUCAAACUCUUACAUGGAAGUGCACUGUGUGAGUCAGGUCCAACCGGACAGUCUGUCCUGGAGGUGGGGGAAGGGCGAGGCCCCUCGGCCUCCAGGCCCCCUUCCUUGCCCCGUGGGGGCCCCAGGAUUCCCACUGUCCCCGCCACCCUGGCAGCCCACGGCCACCUGAGUCAGCAUGAGCCCUGCACCUCUCCUGCACACCAUCCAGGGAACCCUGGACACGGCGAGGUGGCAGCCGCAGGGUCUCAGUGUCCAAAGGGGAGGCUAGGGAUUUGUGAACCCCACUCCCACCAAGGCCCAGCCCCUCAGCACCCUCAGCUGUUUCAGAAAGUCCCUGUCCCUGACCAUGACCUCACCCUGACAAGGAAAUGGUGGGCGUGGGACGGUACAGGCAGAGACUUUAUCUCUGUGGGCGGCUGGGCCAGAAGCCAGGCUGGGGGAGAGAGGGUGACAGCUGUGAACAGAGCCACCUUUGACUCUGGAGGACAAUGCCCUCCCAGUGUCCCCAUAACCCCUUCCUGGUCCCCAGAGCAGGUUAGGUCAAUACUGAGUUGUUUCAAGAUGAUCAUAAAGAGUGACAGCCAAGCUCCUCUCCUACCCUGGCAAUUCGCAGUGCAUAAAAUCCUUUCCUGCUCUUUGGCUCAAUUUUUUUUUUUGUUUAAAAAAUGCAUUGGGGGGUUGCACCACAUCUUGAAGCAAAUAGGACCUUUGAUCUUCGUUGCAGCCUGAGGGAUCUGUAGUUGCAGCAUGUGGGAUCUUGUUCCUCGACCAGAGAUCGAACCCGGGCCCCUGCACUGGGAGUGUGGAGUCCACCAGGAAGUCCCAGCUCAACUGUUUUUGACAACAGCCACAAGAGGCAGCGAGACAAGGGUUAGGUCCCAUUGUGUGAGCUGACAUUGACUGAGCCCCUGUUAAAAUGUUAGUCACUCAGUCGUGUCCGACUCUUUGUGACCCCAUGGACUGCAGCCCCCCGGGCUGCUCUGUCCACAGGAUUCUCCAGGCAAGAAUACUAAAGUGGGGCGCCAUUCCCUUCUCCAAGAGAUCUUCCCGACCCAGGGAUCAAACCCAGGUCUUCUGCAUUACAGGCGGAUUCUUUACCAUCUGAGCCACCAGGGAGCCCCUGCCCUGCGCUAAAUACCUUGUCGACUCAUGUCACCCUCAGUACUGAGAGGAGGCAGGCAGGCACUGUUGUUAUCCCUGUCUCCGAAGAGAACUCUGCAGAGACUUGGGUAGGUGAGCCCAAGCCACUCAGCUGGACAUGGCGAAGCUUCCUCCUGAACCCGUGUCUUCAACUCAAACCAUACGAGGAGCAGUUGACGCAACCACAGCUGCUGUUUCUGUGGAAGAAUAGACUGUCACCUUCGGCAAGUCCUCAAAGGACAGAAUAGGAGAGAAGGAGUGCGUGGGAAUUCUGAGGACAGAGCGAUGCCAACACCAGGAUGCUGCAGGGACACAGAUGCUGACUGGACCUGAGAAAGAACACGGUGACACCCAGAGCUGAGACCAAGGGGAGGGCAGCCUGGUGAGGCCGCGUGCGGGCGGAGGCUGGAUGGCACCGUGUACCUGGGGUUCCCACACUGCUGGGGGCUGGGCAAACACGGUCCCAAUGCUGGAGUUAGAAGUUUUAUGUAUUUCACUAGCAGACCCCGUCUCCGGCCUCAGCCCUCCCCACCCACUCUCCAGAGAACAUCCCUCCACCGUCUUCACCAAACUACCCGAAACUUAGCCGCAUACAACCGCCACCUUAUUACGCUCAGAGUCUUGUUGGUCAAGAGUGGACAGAGCCCAUCGGGGAUGCCCUGACCCCGCUCUGUGAUGUUUGGGGCCUCAGCUGGGAAAACUCAAUGCUGAGUGCCUCUGUGGGUGGGGCUGGAACCAUCUGGAGAGGUCUUCGCUCACAUGCCUGGUUGCUGAUGCGGGCCAUCAGCAGGACCUCAGCAGGGCUGUUGGCUGGACCACUUACCCAGGGUCUCUCCAAGCAGAUGAGUUUGGGCUUCCUCCCAGCAUGGCAGGCGGGUUCAAAGAACAAAUAUCCUGAGAGAGCAAGGUGGCAAAGCAUUUUUAUGAACUGACUUUGGAGAUCACAGAGUGUCAUCCACAAAGCUCCACCGUGUACCUAGGAAGCCCCUCCCGGGCCCAAGGAAGCGGACAGAGACCCCAGCACUGGAGGGGAGGAAUGUCAAAUCACGUUGAAAGAAGAGCAAGCGAGAUUGGAGAGCAUGCUAUAGCCGUCUUCGGAAAAAAGAAAAAAACCCGCGACACAGGCCCCUUCGGAUGGGGUUCCAGCCCUCAGCCUGGAUGAUGGGGUCCCACUUACGCCUCACUGGUCUCUGCACACGCACUUCCUUGGGACUAGAAAACUCAUCCACCAUCCCAAUCCACGCCCCCCUUUGCCUGGCCCAGCCCUACUUGCCCUCCACGGCUCAGCAGGGACACCACCUCCUCCCAGGAAGCCUGCCCUGAACCCUGCCCCCACCGCAGCCGAGAUGGGGCCCCCUUUCGACCACAGCCACAUGUGACCUGCUGGGUGCAGCGGCUUCUCUACUCUGCGAUCUCUAAUAAGAGGGUGGGCCCCACGAGGGCGUGAAUGGUGUUCACCACGUGUCUACCACUAUCUCCCCAGCACUGGGCCAAAUUCCAGCCCCUUUCUGGGUCCUGCUGAUGGACAGCCCACAGCCACUUCCCCCGGGAAGCCUUCCCGGGUUGUCCACGUGUGAGGUGUGUCUCCGGCUCUCCCGCAGGCCCCACUGCAGGCGUGUGGGAAGGCUGGGAUGAAAGCCCGGCGCUCCGCCCCUGUUCCCAAGCCAGAGCUUGUUAUUGCAGUAAAAGAGGCAGCAAAUUACCAGACGGGCUGGGAGCUGUAAUGAUUAAAACAGCGUAUUGUUCUUGGGGCUGCUAAUUGCAUACCUGAGAAAUGAGGCCUGCUCAGCCGUGGUGCCAGGCCCAGCCUGGCAGGGAGCCAGACACAGCCAGGCGACAGGGCAGAAGGGGGUGUCCCAGAAGCAGCAUGUCCCCAAAGGGAGUGGCUGAGCAGCCUCACUGGGGGGCCCCACUGAAAAUACAGAUUUCCAGGCCCUGGCUCAGACCCACUAACGCUGUAUCUGCGGGGGCAGGCCCAGGACCAUGGAUUCUUGACAAGCUCCCAAGGUGAUUCUGAAGGUCCAAGCCUGGGUUUCUGACUGCCCCACCCCAGAGCCAGAUGGAGGCCCGCCUCACUGGCCCAGUUCACCUGGAGAAUGAGGCAAGGCUGAGAGAGUGGCUGCGGGGGAGGGCAUGGAGAGGGCGGUUUCCCCGGGAACUCGGGUCAGAUCUCUUCCACAUGAGCUGGGGGACCCGGGGAGGGUCAGCUCGCCCCUCUGAGCACAGGCUGAUUUUCCCGGAAGCCAAGGGAGCGUAGGCUCGCAGAGCCCCCCGAGAAUCCGAGAGGGAGUUCACCAGGGGGUCCACCCAGCUGGCGUGUGUUGGGCCAUUUACAGAAGUAAGAUGCUUUGGUCUUCUUAGAGUCUCUCCAAAUUGCGUAGGCUUUGGGCUCGCCUAGAAUUGCAAGAGCCAUCACAGGGUGCUGCGGGGAUGGAAGGGGCAGAUGUAGAUCAAGCUGCAGCCCAGAGCCCGGCCACCAAGCGCUCAGGGAGAGAGCGCCUCCGCGUCCUCACCCGUGAGAGGGCCGUGGGGCCGCGGCUCCCUCCUGACGCCGUGCAAGCGUCCGAUGGGUGAAUACAGACGAAGCGCCCAGCUCAGCCCCUGGAGCAGGGCAAGUGCUCUGCACGCCUGGCCAGGCGUGACCCGCCGACGAGCAACCGUGGGACCCAGCGAGUGUGUGAGCAAGCGAGCAGGCCAGCUCGCGAGGGACACGUGAUGCGUGUGGAACCCUGUUCCCCGGAAACGCACAAAGACGCUGAGACCCCCUUUCGCCAAGCCAGUCUAAGAACCGGCCUGCCAAGGGGCAGGGGGCUGGGCUCAGCGACCCAGAUUUCCUGUAGGUCAGGACAAGAGCGACAGAAAAGCCUGGACCUUUGGCCAGUGGUUUCUGGGAAGACACCUGGAUCAGAGGAGGCUGGAAGGCUAGAACAGGAGGAGGGCUGGGGGCCGGAGUUUCAUCCAGGGCAACCCCGCUCCUGUACUCCCGGUUCUACCAGCAAUCAUGAAUGACAUUUUCAUGGAGGACUUCCUGGAGGAGGCGACUUUUGAGGG
ensembl:lncRNA